AAAUUGAAGAGUUUGAUCAUGGCUCAGAUUGAACGCUGGCGGCAGGCCUAACACAUGCAAGUCGAGCGGAAACGAGUUAUCAGAACCUUCGGGGAACGAUAACGGCGUCGAGCGGCGGACGGGUGAGUAAUGCCUAGGAAAUUGCCCUGAUGUGGGGGAUAACCAUUGGAAACGAUGGCUAAUACCGCAUGAUGCCUACGGGCCAAAGAGGGGGACCUUCGGGCCUCUCGCGUCAGGAUAUGCCUAGGUGGGAUUAGCUAGUUGGUGAGGUAAGGGCUCACCAAGGCGACGAUCCCUAGCUGGUCUGAGAGGAUGAUCAGCCACACUGGAACUGAGACACGGUCCAGACUCCUACGGGAGGCAGCAGUGGGGAAUAUUGCACAAUGGGCGCAAGCCUGAUGCAGCCAUGCCGCGUGUGUGAAGAAGGCCUUCGGGUUGUAAAGCACUUUCAGUCGUGAGGAAGGUAGUGUAGUUAAUAGCUGCAUUAUUUGACGUUAGCGACAGAAGAAGCACCGGCUAACUCCGUGCCAGCAGCCGCGGUAAUACGGAGGGUGCGAGCGUUAAUCGGAAUUACUGGGCGUAAAGCGCAUGCAGGUGGUUUGUUAAGUCAGAUGUGAAAGCCCGGGGCUCAACCUCGGAAUUGCAUUUGAAACUGGCAGACUAGAGUACUGUAGAGGGGGG
rnacentral:rRNA from 1 species